GGCGCUCCGGGAGGUGGGGAGGUGGGGGGAUCUGACUGCCUGGGCUGGACCCGGGUCACCUGACCCCACGGGACCCGCCCCUCCAGAACCUGCCAGGGCCCUGAUUCAGCCCAAAAGGCCCGAGAUCCCGCACUUUUUAUAUCAGGAAGCUGAAACCCUGUUGGUCGAUAAACAUUGAGUAAGCACCACUGUAUGCCAGGUUCAGGGUGAAAUGCUAGGGGAACCAGGAACGGGGGCAGACGCUGCCCUCGAGGAGCCUAAUGAGGGAGAAAGCGGGCAAGCUUUGCACAGGAUAGAUCCGAAAUAGUCAGCAGAGGGAAGGCACUAGAAUUGGGGGGGAUCCCACCUAAGGAAGGGAGGAUUUUAGCUGCCAGGAAGGGGGAGGGAGCUUCUAGGCAUGGGGCAUAGCCAGGGGAAAUGUCCGGAGUCUGGAAAUGGAGGGUGUCACAGGAGGACCAGACCAGCGACGCUGUUUGUAUGGAAGACCGGGGAGGAGUCAACAGUGAAUGAGAGUGGGACAUGGAUGCAGUGAUCAAAGCUAUGACCUUCUGAGCUUCCAAAGGUCAAAAGAAGCCUGAGAAGUCCUGGAACUAGAGUCCAGACCAGAGUUUACAGAAGCAGCCAAACAGAGGGGUGCCUGUGAUGGUGCUGUGGACUGGGCUGGGUGCUGGGGACAUAAGGACAAAAAUCUUCCAGGAGCUUCUAUCUGCCACAUGGGGGAUACUCGGUAAACCCCUGACAUAAUACUCCAAGGAUUUAACUUGGAAGUCUGGCCCCUGGGACAAAUUCAGUUGCCAGAGGAGAGGUGAAGAUCUGACUUUCUUAUACACAGUGGAGAUGGGCUAAAACAGAAUUAUGGAAACAGAGGAGGCUAAGACCAUGAUGCCUGCAGGAGAGAUGAGGAGAAAACAAGACUGAGAACCAGAUGAGGAAACUGAAGGCAAGAGAGAGGAAGAGAAGCAGACAAGGUCACACAGGCUGCAGAGCAGGAAUUGACUCCAAAUUCACUGUCCCCUCUGCCACAUGGUCUGUCAUUCACUAUACUAGACAUUUGCUACUAAUUUUGGGUGGCAAGAGUUUACAAAACUGGAAUAGGGCAUAUGGAGAAAUGACAAUUGCUUUUCUUAGUGUUUCAGACAGAAACAAAGUAUCGAGUUUAUGCUUUUAGGGUAUGGCCAACAUUUGUUGAAUUCCUAUUAUGGGGUGCAACAAAUGAGAUGAGGUAGGCAGUAUGCUUAGCAAACUCUGAAAUGCUACCUAUUAUUAUGAGUAGUUAUUAUUAUCCCACAUAUCUCAAGGUCCGGCUCCAAAGCCAUUGCCUCUAUACAGAAUUCCUUGGUCCCCUCCUCCCUCCCUUUCCUCCUUCUUCCCCUUCCCUCCACCAUUCAGAAAUAACCUUCCCCUUCUCUGGACUCUCCCAACAUUUACGUCUCAUAGCAUUUUCCCAUUAUACUCUCUCUCGUAGCUAUUUCUAAGUACCUUUUUUUCUUUCCCACUGAAUUGUAGAGUCAAAGGUGUAAGCUGAGCUCAAAUGAAGUUGGCAGUUUCUGAACCUGCAAUGACUGCUCUUGCCUCCAGAGAAGAGAAUUCUCUGGAUACUGAUAUUGAAGCAAAGAAAAAUUUUAUUGAGGUUGGGGAACACAGGAAGAAGGAAUUUGAAAGCCUCCUACAAUUGUGGCAAAGGCAGAUCCUUACAGAGCUUCGGAUAGUCAAAGGGCAGACUGUUUGGAGGCAUUCAGCCAGGAGGAUGUAUUCAGGGGAAGAAGAAGAGGAAGAAUACAGAAAGGGGCGUGCCAGGCAAUUGGGGUUAAGUGACUUGCCCAGGGUCACACAGCUAG